rnacentral:rRNA from 1 species
GGAAUCUUCCACAAUGGGCGCAAGCCUGAUGGAGCAACGCCGCGUGAAUGAAGAAGGUCUUCGGAUCGUAAAAUUCUGUUGUUAGAGAAGAAUAUGAGUAAUAGUAACUGAUUAUUCACUGACGGUAUCUAACCAGCAAGUCACGGCUAACUACGUGCCAGCAGCCGCGGUAAUACGUAGGUGGCAAGCGUUGUCCGGAUUUAUUGGGCGUAAAGGGAACGCAGGCGGUUUUUUAAGUCUGAUGUGAAAGCCUUCGGCUUAACCGGAGAUGUGCAUUGGAAACUGGAAGACUUGAGUGCAGAAGAGGAGAGUGGAACUCCAUGUGUAGCGGUGAAAUGCGUAGAUAUAUGGAAGAACACCAGUGGCGAAAGCGGCUCUCUGGUCUGUAACUGACGCUGAGGUUCGAAAGCAUGGGUAGCGAACAGG